rnacentral:lncRNA from 1 species
UACGAUCACGUAUAUAUAUAUAUAUAUGUAGGCACGUGCAGGUUUAUGCCUGUACAUGAAAAAAAUAAAUAAAUAAUUAAAAUAUUUAUCCAGAAUGACAAAAAAAAAGUAAAAAUAAAAUAGAGUAUAUAUAUAUAUAUAUGCAUAACCAAGCAUACACGUGUAGAUAUGCAUAUUUUUAUAAUUUUUAAAAAGUCGGUUUAAACAUUUAAAUUUCAUAAUGAGUUUAAAAAUUUAAGUUCUGGCAUCAAAAUAAAAAAAAGUGAUAUUUACACUUAAAAAAUAUAAAUAUAUUUUUUUUUUUUUUUUAUAAAGCGGAAUUGAAGGAAAGAAAAAAGAAGGAUGAAGUAAAAUGUAUGCUAUUAAAACGAACACCUUUUAGUGUACAUUAAUUUUAAAAAUUUCAUCCAAGUUCAAUUUUGGUGUCUGUACAUUUUGACAUUCUAUUAUGUUAAUAUAAUUGUCACCAUUGAUAUUCAUUAAACAUAAAAGGUCGAUUUUAGUGACUUUUUUUUGAAAGAUUAUUUUUUUUAUUUGUAAUUAAUGUAAAGUUUUCUUCCCCUUCACUAACUAAAUCAUUAUAUAAGUCAUCUUUAAAACAAAUAUCUUUUUUAUAAUUAUUUAAUGCUCGGUUAUAUAUAUUCAUCAUUUUUAUAGCUUCUAAUUCAAUAUUGGCUGAUAAUUCUUUAUUUAUACAAUAAAUAGCAUAACUAAUUAAAUUAUAAAUAUCACAUUUUGACCACUCCAUAGAAUUAUGAUUAAAACCAAAGCUGCUGCUUAGUUUUUUGCUUAUUUCUGAGGUUUUGUCUUGGUCAUAACUAGGUAUCAUGUUUUCUAAUAAAUUAAAAACCCCUAAAUUUGUAUCACUAAAACUAUUAUAUUUUGUUCUUAUCAUUUCUGUUAUAUCUUCUUGUUUUAUUGUUGGACUUAUUAUUUCUUUAAUUUUAACAAAUAACCAAUCAUUUCCUGUAUUUUCAGCUUCUGUAGUUUUAUCGUUUUCUAUUAAUCCAUCACUUUGUUUAUUACAAUCUAUAUUGUUAUAUUCUAUAUUUUUUUCUGUUACUUCUACCUCUACAUUUAAAUCAUCUGUAUUAUUUUUAUCUACAACAUCACCUUCGGCAUAUUUAUCUACUAUUUCCUUAUGGUCAUAUUUUUUUUUUUUCUUUUUUUUUUUUUUUUAAGUUUUCAUUAUUUUUAUCCUUAUUUAAAACGGCUUCUGUUUUACUCACCGAAUUGUUGAGAUUGUCAAUAUGAUCUU